GCUUCCUUAGCUCAGUUGGCCAGAGCAUCCGCCUUGUAAGCGGAGGGUCAUCGGUUCGAAUCCGAUAGGAAGCUC
rnacentral:tRNA from 1 species